UACGUAGGGGGCAAGCGUUAUCCGGAUUUACUGGGUGUAAAGGGAGCGUAGACGGCGGUGCAAGCCAGAUGUGAAAGCCCGGGGCUCAACCCCGGGACUGCAUUGGAAACUAUGUAACUAGAGUACCGGAGAGGUAAGCGGAAUUCCUAGUGUAGCGGUGAAAUGCGUAGAUAUUAGGAAGAACACCAGUGGCGAAGGCGGCUUGCUGGACAGUAACUGACGUUGAGGCUCGAAAGCGUGGGGAGCAAACAGG
rnacentral:rRNA from 1 species